rnacentral:lncRNA from 1 species
UUUCUUCUACCUCAGGAAAAUGCAGGAUUUCACACAUUAGUUUUAAGUAAGAAACUUGUGUGAUUAUCUUAAAGUUUGCCCAGUCUCAAAUUGGAUUUAUUUUCUCUAGGUUAAACGAGUCAUCAGAGGUCAAGCCACUUUCAAAGAAAUUAUGACUUUAACUGAUAGACGUUCUGCAGAACAAAGCUUAGAACCAAGGAAAUCAAUUCCCAAAUGGAUCUGUAUUCCCUCAAAGCUACUUCUCUGCUCUUUUGUCAUUAAUUGUAUUGACAGCUGGUAGUUCCUACUUUGAGACAAUUUAUCUUCUCACUGCAUAUUUAUUGAAAUAUACCUUGUUGUAUUAUUGACCUUACACCAUGAGGAAGCAGUGAAUAAUGGCAAAAUCCCCUGGGUCCUGACAGAUGGUUUUAGUAUUCAGCUUUGCUGUCAGCAUUAGGCCUCACAGCAUAUGCAAAACAAAAGAACAUUAGCCUUUGAAGGCAAAAUGAAAUGUUAUCUGAAUUAAAGGAGCAAUGUGGAAAUUCAC